AUACGGAGGGUGCAAGCGUUACUCGGAAUCACUGGGCGUAAAGCGUGCGCAGGCGGGUGAUAAAGUCAGAAGUGAAAGCCUACGGCUUAACCGUAGAACUGCUUCUGAAACUCAUCAUCUAGAGUCUGGGAGAGGUAGUUGGAAUUAGUGGUGUAGGGGUAAAAUCCGCAGAGAUCACUAGGAAUACCAAAAGCGAAGGCAAGCUACUGGAACAGUACUGACGCUGAGGCGCGAAAGCGUGGGGAGCAAACAGGAUUAGAUACCCUAGUAGUCC
rnacentral:rRNA from 1 species